GAUUGAAACUUGAGAGUGGAGAGUAAGAAAUUGAGCAUCAAUAGAGAGGGAGGGAUAGAAGAGAGAAGAGGCGAGAGGGGGGCAUCGGUUUGUGGGCAUUGCUCAGUGAGAACUAACUAAGGGUUUUUAUAGGCAGACACAAAAUGUUGUAACUUUAGUGUAAUAUAUAGGCUUGGUUUGAUUAUUUUAGUUUAUUGGCAAAGUAACAGAACCAAACCUAAUUAACUAAUAUUCAUGAAAAUAAUAAACGAAUUAAACUGUUUAAGCCGAAAAAUCGAAUUAGAACAGUUAUGGUUUGGUUUUUCGAUUUUAACCGAUUUCUUAUCUCUCCUAGUUGUGAAGGUCCACUUAUUUUUAGUUGAUUGAUUUUUUGUUGUGCCUAGUUGUGUUUAUGUGAUGAUGUCUCUAUUAAUAAGGUGUGUUUUAACCGAUUUCCACUGAUCUCUAUUCUCUCCUAGUUGUGUUUUGAGCUUAACCUUAGAAUAGUAAUUAAGAAUAGGAAGCUUAGAAUUUUA
rnacentral:misc_RNA from 1 species